AGCCGACUUAGCUCAGUUGGUAGAGCAUCUGAUUUGUAAUCAGAGGGUCGCGUGUUCGAAUCAUGUAGUCGGCA
rnacentral:tRNA from 2 species